rnacentral:rRNA from 1 species
AGAGUUUGAUCCUGGCUCAGAACGAACGCUGGCGGCGUGUUUAAGACAUGCAAGUCGCACGGGAUUGAUUGAGUAGUAAUACGAGAUCAGUCUAGUGGCGCACGGGUGAGUAACAUGUGAAUGACAUGCCCUAUAGUGGGGAAUAGCCCAGGGAAACUUGGAUUAAUACCCCAUAGUCUCGCAAGAGUAAAGGUGGCCGCAAGGCUGUCGCUAUAGGAUUGGUUCGCACCCUAUCAGCUUGUUGGUGAGGUAAUGGCUCACCAAGGCUACGACGGGUACCUGGUCUGAGAGGACGAUCAGGCACACUGGAACUGAGACACGGUCCAGACACCUACGGGUGGCAGCAGUCGAGAAUAAUUCACAAUGGGGGCGACCCUGAUGGUGCAACGCCGCGUGGAGGAUGACGGUCUUCGGAUUGUAAACUCCUGUCAUCUGGGAGUAAGACCUGGUCGUUAAUAGCGAACAGGGUUGAUAGUACCAGAAGAGGAAGGGACGGCUAACUUCGUGCCAGCAGCCGCGGUAAUACGAAGGUCCCAAGCGUUGUUCGGAAUCACUGGGCGUAAAGGGAGCGUAGGCGGCGUGGUAAGUCAGAUGUGAAAUCCCGGGGCUCAACCCCGGAACUGCAUCCGAUACUGCCAUGCUAGAGGAUUGGAGAGGUAGCUGGAAUUCUUGGUGUAGCAGUGAAAUGCGUAGAGAUCAAGAGGAACACUCGUGGCGAAAGCGAGCUACUGGACAAUUCCUGACGCUGAGCUCGAAGCUAGGGUAGCGAAAGGGAUUAGAUACCCCUGUAGUCCUAGCAG